UACGGGGGGAGCAAGCGUUGUCCGGAAUUACUGGGCGUAAAGAGCUCGUAGGUGGUUUGUCGCGUUGUCCGUGAAAACUCACAACUCAAUUGUGGGCGUGCGGGCGAUACGGGCAGACUGGAGUACUGCAGGGGAGACUGGAAUUCCUGGUGUAGCGGUGGAAUGCGCAGAUAUCGGGAAGAACACCAGUGGCGAAGGCGCUCUACUGGGCCACAACUGACGCUGAGGGACGAAAGCUAGGGGAGCGAAAGGG
rnacentral:rRNA from 1 species